UACGUAGGUGGCAAGCGUUGUCCGGAUUUACUGGGCGUAAAGAGCGCGCAGGCGGUCGUUCAAGUCGCGUGUGAAAGCCCCCGGCUCAACUGGGGAGGGUCACGCGAUACUGAUCGACUCGAAGGCAGGAGAGGGUAGUGGAAUUCCCGGUGUAGUGGUGAAAUGCGUAGAUAUCGGGAGGAACACCAGUGGCGAAGGCGACAUACCUGGCCUGUUCUUGACGCUGAGGCGCGAAAGCUAGGGGAGCAAACGGG
rnacentral:rRNA from 1 species